GAUGAACGCUGGCGGCGUGCCUAACACAUGCAAGUCGAACGGAGUUAUUAUUAUGAAGUUUUCGGAUGGAUUAAUAAUAACUUAGUGGCGGACGGGUGAGUAACGCGUGGGUGACCUGCCUCAUACAGGGGGAUAACAGUUGGAAACGGCUGCUAAAACCGCAUAACAUUGCGAUGUCGCAUGACAAUGCAAUUAAAUAUUUAUAGGUAUGAGAUGGGCCCGCGUCUGAUUAGCUAGUUGGUGGGGUAAUGGCCAACCAAGGCGACGAUCAGUAGCCGGCUUGAGAGAGUGACCGGCCACAUUGGGACUGAGACACGGCCCAAACUCCUACGGGAGGCAGCAGUGGGGAAUAUUGCACAAUGGGGGAAACCCUGAUGCAGCGACGCCGCGUGAGUGAAGAAGUAUUUCGGUAUGUAAAGCUCUAUCAGCAGGGAAGAAAAUGACGGUACCUGACUAAGAAGCCCCGGCUAACUACGUGCCAGCCGCCGCAGUAA
rnacentral:rRNA from 1 species